GACGAACGCUGGCGGCGUGCUUAACACAUGCAAGUCGAACGGAAAGGCCCUGCUUUUGUGGGGUGCUCGAGUGGCGAACGGGUGAGUAACACGUGAGUAACCUGCCCUUGACUUUGGGAUAACUUCAGGAAACUGGGGCUAAUACCGGAUAGGAGCUCCUGCUGCAUGGUGGGGGUUGGAAAGUUUCGGCGGUUGGGGAUGGACUCGCGGCUUAUCAGCUUGUUGGUGGGGUAGUGGCUUACCAAGGCUUUGACGCGUAGCCGGCCUGAGAGGGUGACCGGCCACAUUGGGACUGAGAUACGGCCCAGACUCCUACGGGAGGCAGCAGUGGGGAAUAUUGCACAAUGGGCGGAAGCCUGAUGCAGCAACGCCGCGUGCUGGAUGACGGCCUUCGGGUUGUAAACCGCUUUCGCCUGUGACGAAGCGUGAGUGACGGUAAUGGGUAAAGAAGCACCGGCUAACUACGUG
rnacentral:rRNA from 1 species